GAUGGGUGAGGUUGCACAUAUCUAUAAUCCUAGGCACCAGGAGUCUGAGGCUAGUGGAGCUUUCGAGCUCAGGAGUCUUGAGCUGUGUUGGGUUAUGAUGGCUGGGGAUCCACACUAAGUCCAGCAUUAACAGAGUAAGUCCCAGGAGCAGGGGGUGGCCACCAAAUUUCCUACAGAAGGACAAACCUGCCCAGGUCAGAAAUGAAGGAAGUCAAAGUUUCCUUGCCAAUCAGCAGUGGGAUCAGACCUGUGAGUAGCCACUGCACCUCAAGCCUGGGUGACAUAGGAAGACAGUCUA
rnacentral:SRP_RNA from 1 species